AUUGAACGCUGGCGGCAGGCCUAACACAUGCAAGUCGAGCGGAGCGGCGGACGGGUGAGUAAUGCCUAGGAAUCUGACUGGUAGUGGGGGAUAACGUCAGGUAACGGACGCUAAUACCGCAUACUAUCAGAUGAGCCUAUGUCGGAUUAGCUAGUUGGUGGGGUAAAGGCCUACCAAGACGACGAUCCGUAACUGGUCUGGGAGGAUGAUCAGUCACACUGGAACUGAGACACGGUCCAGACUCCUACGGGAGGCAGCAGUGGGGAAGAUUGGACAAUGGGCGAAAGCCUGAUCCAGCCAUGCCGCGUGUGUGAAGAAGGUCUUCGGAUUGUAAAGCACUUUAAGUUGGGAGGCGUUACCAGCAGAAUAAGCACCGGCUAACUUCGUGCCAGCAGCCGCGGUAAUAC
rnacentral:rRNA from 1 species